rnacentral:rRNA from 1 species
UACGAAGGGGGCUAGCGUUGCUCGGAAUCACUGGGCGUAAAGGGUGCGUAGGCGGGUCUUUAAGUCAGGGGUGAAAUCCUGGAGCUCAACUCCAGAACUGCCUUUGAUACUGAGGAUCUUGAGUCCGGGAGAGGUGAGUGGAACUGCGAGUGUAGAGGUGAAAUUCGUAGAUAUUCGCAAGAACACCAGUGGCGAAGGCGGCUCACUGGCCCGGUACUGACGCUGAGGCACGAAAGCGUGGGUAGCGAACAGG